AAAGGAAUAGACGGGGGCCCGCACAAGCGGCGGAGCAUGUGGAUUAAUUCGAUGCAACGCGAAGAACCUUACCUGGGUUUGACAUGCACCAGAUUGCUAUGGAGACAUAGUUUCCCUUGUGGUUGGUGUACAGGUGGUGCAUGGCUGUCGUCAGCUCGUGUCGUGAGAUGUUGGGUUAAGUCCCGCAACGAGCGCAACCCUUGCCCCAUGUUGCCAGCGAUUCGGUCGGGGACUCGUGGGGGACUGCCGGGGUCAACUCGGAGGAAGGUGGGGAUGACGUCAAGUCAUCAUGCCCCUUAUGUCCAGGGCUUCACACAUGCUACAAUGGCUGGUACAGAGGGUGGCGAUACCGUGAGGUGGAGCGAAUCCCUUAAAGCCGGUCUCAGUUCGGAUCGGGGUCUGCAACUCGACCCCGUGAAGUCGGAGUCGCUAGUAAUCGCAGAUCAGCAGUGCUGCGGUGAAUACGUUCCCGGGCCUUGUACACACCGCCCGU
rnacentral:rRNA from 1 species